ACAGGAUUAGAUACCCUGGUAGUCCACGCCGUAAACGGUGCUGACUAGUUGUUCGGGAUUUACAUCCUGAGUAACGUAGCUAACGCGUGAAGUCAGCCGCCUGGGGAGUACGGUCGCAAGAUUAAAACUCAAAGGAAUUGACGGGGACCCGCACAAGCGGUGGAUGAUGUGGAUUAAUUCGAUGCAACGCGAAAAACCUUACCUACCCUUGACAUGUCACUAACGAAGUAGAGAUACAUUAGGUGCUCGUAAGAGAAAGUGAACACAGGUGCUGCAUGGCUGUCGUCAGCUCGUGUCGUGAGAUGUUGGGUUAAGUCCCGCAACGAGCGCAACCCUUGUCUUUAGUUGCUACGCAAGAGCACUCUAAAGAGACUGCCGGUGACAAACCGGAGGAAGGUGGGGAUGACGUCAAGUCCUCAUGGCCCUUAUGGGUAGGGCUUCACACGUCAUACAAUGGUGCAUACAGAGGGUUGCCCACCCGCGAGGGGGAGCUAAUCUCAGAAAAUGCAUCGUAGUCCGGAUCGUAGUCUGCAACUCGACUACGUGAAGCUGGAAUCGCUAGUAAUCGCGGAUCAGAAUGUCGCGGUGAAUACGUUCCCGGGUC
rnacentral:rRNA from 1 species